rnacentral:rRNA from 1 species
AUUGAACGCUGGCGGCAGGCCUAACACAUGCAAGUCGAGCGGAUGAAGGGAGCUUGCUCCUGGAUUCAGCGGCGGACGGGUGAGUAAUGCCUAGGAAUCUGCCUGGUAGUGGGGGAUAACGUCCGGAAACGGGCGCUAAUACCGCAUACGUCCUGAGGGAGAAAGUGGGGGAUCUUCGGACCUCACGCUAUCAGAUGAGCCUAGGUCGGAUUAGCUAGUUGUUGGGGUAAAGGCCUACCAAGGCGACGAUCCGUAACUGGUCUGAGAGGAUGAUCAGUCACACUGGAAUUGAGACACGGUCCAGACUCCUACGGGAGGCAGCAGUGGGUAAUAUUGGACAAUGGGCGAAAGCCUGAUCCAGCCAUGCCGCGUGUGUGAAGAAGGUCUUCGGAUUGUAAAGCACUUUAAGUGGGGAGGAAGGGCAGUAAGUUAAUACCUUGCUGUUUUGACGUUACCAAUAGAGUAAGCACCGGCUAACUGCGU